UACGGAGGAUGCGAGCGUUAUCCGGAUUUAUUGGGUUUAAAGGGUGCGUAGGCGGUUUGAUAAGUUAGAGGUGAAAUGUCGGGGCUCAACCCCGAAACUGCCUCUAAUACUGUUGGACUAGAGAAUAGUUGCGGUAGGCGGAAUGCGUGGUGUAGCGGUGAAAUGCAUAGAUAUCACGCAGAACUCCGAUUGCGAAGGCAGCUUACUAAGCCAUAACUGACACUGAAGCACGAAAGCGUGGGGAUCAAACAGG
rnacentral:rRNA from 1 species